CGAAACCCCUAGGGACCUUGCCUGGGUUAUCUCGGUGUCGGACGAGAGCGCAGGGGAGGUGCUUAGUGGGGACGC